rnacentral:lncRNA from 1 species
UGGGUUUCCACUCACACGGUAGGCGGCUGUGUGAUUUCAUCUGGAGUCCCCAGGCCCCUCCUCAUCCUUCCCAGGGUUGCUCUGAGGCCAUCCCUCGUCAUCUAGGAGGGGUCCAUGUAAAAGCAUUUAUAAACAGCUCCAAAUGGGAGCCUGGCGCGCCCACCUUUGGAGCACUUUUUUCUACUGCAGAUUUAUCUACUGCUAGUUAAAUCUCUGGAUUUAACUCUGAUGAAAGACCUGAGGCUGAAGGGGAACUUCAAUGUCAUAUAUUUUAAAGGUUGACUCACAGUUUGGAGCAAGAAUUAAAGAACCACGAACAUCAAGGUAAAACGGGCAACGGCAGUGGGGCAAGCCUCUCUGCAGCCAGCGUGUCCAACCUCUCCUGCGUGCCAGAAGUCCCCAGGCAGGAGUGUGGUGGGACGUCCGGCUGGGGUGAUGUAAAAUUCUCAAACAAUGAGAUAGAUAAAAAGUACGCAGCCAAAAAAUGCAGGAAGAAGUGUUAUAGAGAUGGAGCAGGCCCUUCAUAAAAACACGAUGUUGGUUUUCUGGAUUUUGGAGGCCCCACAAAACCUGGAUCAGACUCGCCCACUGCCCUGUGUCUGCCCGACCAACCACCUCUCCUGCCCAGCAGGGAUGUGGGUGGCAGUGGUGCUGUGUGGAGGGUGGCGGGAGGACUGGGGAGACUGUGACCGGUGAGCCGGGAGGCCUUGGGAUGGCCUCUCUCUGAAUCAUCCUGUGCACUGCCAGAGGCUCCUAGAAUCCUGCCUCAAGUGGCCGCCUUCACAGAGGGAGUCACUCACGUUCCUGCUCAGUGCGGCCCUGGCCUGUGGGGGCCCCUCUACUCACGAGAAACCCCCACCCAAUCACC